CUCGUAUUCUCCCAACACCAUAAAUGCAUGCGACUCGUUUUCUAUUUGACUGGCUUCAGGCUUGCAUGGCUGUUGUCUCUUUCUCGUCAAGAGACGUAUAUGUACCGCACACUGAUAGUUGUACCGCAUGCUUGCAUCCAUGCAUUGACAAGCAUUUUCGUCGAACCAAAAUAAACCUCCACUCACGUAUAGCUAUAGGAGACAAACAAGCAGUUUUUGGAAUUUUUCAUCUUAAAUUGGAAAACCAGUUGAAACCAUUUCG